CAGUAGCCGCGGUAACACGAAGGGUGCAAGCGUUAAUCGGAAUUACUGGGCGUAAAGCGUGCGUAGGCGGUGAGUUAAGUCCGCUGUGAAAUCCCCGGGCUCAACCUGGGAAUGGCAGUGGAUACUGGCUCGCUAGAGUGUGUCAGAGGAUGGUGGAAUUCCCGGUGUAGCGGUGAAAUGCGUAGAGAUCGGGAGGAACAUCAGUGGCGAAGGCGGCCAUCUGGGACAACACUGACGCUGAGGCACGAAAGCGUGGGGAGCAAACAGGAUUAGAUACCCCAGUAGUCCCUGUCUCUUAUAC
rnacentral:rRNA from 1 species